AGUGAACGCUGGCGGUAGACCUAACACAUGCAAGUCGAACGGCAGCACAGUAAGAGCUUGCUCUUACGGGUGGCGAGUGGCGGACGGGUGAGGAAUACAUCGGAAUCUACUUUUUCGUGGGGGAUAACGUAGGGAAACUUACGCUAAUACCGCAUACGACCUACGGGUGAAAGCAGGGGAUCUUCGGACCUUGCGCGAUUGAAUGAGCCGAUGUCGGAUUAGCUAGUUGGCGGGGUAAAGGCCCACCAAGGCGACGAUCCGUAGCUGGUCUGAGAGGAUGAUCAGCCACACUGGAACUGAGACACGGUCCAGACUCCUACGGGAGGCAGCAGUGGGGAAUAUUGGACAAUGGGCGCAAGCCUGAUCCAGCCAUACCGCGUGGGUGAAGAAGGCCUUCGGGUUGUAAAGCCCUUUUGUUGGGAAAGAAAAGCAGCAGGUUAACACCCCGCUGUUCUGACGGUACCCAAAGAAUAAGCACCGGCUAACUUCGUG
rnacentral:rRNA from 1 species